rnacentral:rRNA from 1 species
AACGUAGGAGACGAGCGUUAUCCGGAUUUACUGGGCGUAAAGCGCGUGCAGGAGGCAAUACAAGUUGGAUGUGAAAUAUCCCGGCUUAACCGGGAAGGGUCGUUCAAGACUGUAUAGCUAGAGUAUGGUAGAGGUAAUCGGAACUCCGGGAGUAGCGGUGAAAUGCGUAGAUAUCCGGAAGAACACCAGAGGCGAAAGCGGAUUACUGGGCCAAAACUGACACUAAGACGCGAAAGCCAGGGUAGCAAAC